rnacentral:rRNA from 1 species
UACGUAUGGACCGAGCGUUGUCCGGAAUCAUUGGGCGUAAAGAGCGUGUAGGCGGCCUUUUAAGUCCUGCGUGAAAUCCUGCGGCUCAACCGCAGACGGUCGUGGGAAACUGGAAGGCUAGAGUGCGGGAGAGGAGAGUGGAAUUCCCGGUGUAGCGGUGAAAUGCGCAGAUAUCGGGAAGAACACCCGUGGCGAAGGCGGCUCUCUGGAACGCAACUGACGCUGAGACGCGAAAGCGUGGGGAGCAAACAGG